AAAGUGACGGUACCUGCAGAAGAAGCACCGGCUAACUACGUGCCAGCAGCCGCGGUAAUACGUAGGGUGCGAGCGUUGUCCGGAUUUAUUGGGCGUAAAGCGAGCGCAGGCGGAAUGAUAAGUCUGAUGUGAAAGCCCACGGCUCAACCGUGGAACUGCAUCGGAAACUGUCAUUCUUGAGUGCAGAAGAGGAGAGUGGAACUCCAUGUGUAGCGGUGGAAUGCGUAGAUAUAUGGAAGAACACCAGUGGCGAAGGCGGCUCUCUGGUCUGCAACUGACGCUGAGGCU
rnacentral:rRNA from 1 species